AUCCUAUUAAUCUUUGGCAGGCCCUCCAAAACAUCUCCUUUAAUUAUUUGCUUCAACUGUUGGAGAUGUUCUCACCAGCAGAGACCUAUAUGUUGAUGGCACUGUGGACUUGGGCUUUUCGGAUAGGAAAAAGCCAAACCGACACCAUGUAUUCUUAUGGAUGUAUGAGUCAUCUCACUGUAGGCGGGGUGUGUUUCUCUUACGCAGAACUUACUUUAUUUUAUGCUUUAUCAGUGUAAUCUCCAAUUUCAUUCGCAUGUAUAUUAUUACUCUUUUCCUGGUCUUGCAGAUGCAUCAUGUCUAGCUUUUCAGCCUUGCAAAUUAGAGGUUUUGAUUGAUACAUGAAUAUUAUUGGAA